ACAAAGGCCCUUUUCAGGGCCGCCCACUUGUGUCUCGAAAGAGCUG
rfam:Canis lupus familiaris chromosome 35, whole genome shotgun sequence.